AAAAGGUGAGAAGAAACAAAGUUAACUAUUAGAGUUAUAUUAUCAGACACUUCUCAAGUACCAAUUUCUUUUGUCUUGGUGUCAGAGUGGAAUCUUUCCCCAGGUUACAUCAUUCCUUUGUAGUUUUGCACACUAGGACUAAAUGUCCACUAGUGCUUGAAACUAAAAAUCUUACAGCUUAGUCUUUCUUAUAUUAUUCUCGAAACUCAUUUAUAUCCCCUAAAUGCAUGUGUAUCCCUAGGCAUGCAUUCUACAAUAUUGCAACUUGUGGCAUAAUUAAUUUGUUACAUAUAUGUCAUUGGUAUUUAGAGUAUAGUGAACAUCCAAUAUUUCUCUUUAUAAAUGACAAGAUACCCCUCCCUCUCACCCCUCUUCUUAUUUAUAGAGAACAUAUCUUAUUUCUUUAAUUAGCACAGUUCCCAACUAACUAACUAGCAACACUAACAAGUAUUUUAACUAAUUCCAGUUAAAUAAGGGUAUUACUUAUCAGAGACAUUUACCAAAGAAACAAUGCAUUAAUGUUGCUGGUCUAUUGCCCAUGUUUUCAAGAGACGACCUUGAACAUUGCCAUUACCUUUAUCUGCUACUCUAGGGGUCAUCAUUAUGGGUCCAUGAACUUAAGUUCUCAAUGAUCAAACAUUUAUUGAUUUAUUCAGUCCGUUUUCUACUUUUUCAAGUAAUGAUGUUGUUAUGGUCAAUGCAAGAAAUAAGAGAGAGAAGCUUGUGCCGCAGACAGGGG
rnacentral:lncRNA from 1 species